AACCAUACUUGUAAUUUCUUUGCUUGCCUGGUUUCAGAAUUAGGCUCCAGCUCUACAGUGCAACUAAAACCCCAAGUGUGAUACAAGAAUCCUGAGUUAUGCCAAAGGUUGCAAUCAGCACAUGCAUAUAAUUAAGUUUAAGAAUAAUCUUGAGGGAAGUGCUGAAUAUGAGGCUUUGUUGCCUACCACUGGCAGACGUGGAACUGAGGGGAUUUACAUUCAAGCAUCUGUAUGAAAAUGAAUGUAGGACUCCAAGACCAACAGAAUCAGAAGACUACAUUUUUGUGCAUUUCUACUUCACACCAGCCACAGCAGUGAACACCUACCACACUGUAGUGUCAAUGUGCUCCAGCUCUGACAACUCUUGGGAAGACUUACUGUACUAAGCCUCAUGAUCUUCCAUGCCAUUUUCCACACCUCAGUUGGUUUCACUGUUAAGUGGAGAGACACUUAAGAAUGAACUGCAAAGGACCAUCUGAGCUGCUUCGCGUGGAUGAAGGUCAGGCCAUGCUCCUGUUGGGAUUUCAGUCUCUGGAUUUAGGGGUUUUGUUUACAACAAACUUAACUUAUUAAACGACAAAAUCAUCUAUUCAAAUGCAACAGGCUUAAACAUUUUCUUUCUUCUAACAGCAGAACUUCAUUCACUCCAAUGGAAUUGCAUUUGGUUUACACAGGUGUGAGGGGGAAAUCAAGUAGCAUAUAGAAAUGUUUUCAUUUGAAAUAUUUUUGGAAAAGAGGGGUAAAAAACCUGCUUUUAGACCAAUGCAAACAUUUUCAUGGAAAUUUUCAUUAGGGUUAAAAUUUUCUGGAGAAAAACGAAAUGAUUUUAUAUAUUUUUUUUCCAGUAAAAUAGUUUGAUAUUCAAAAAUCCCGCAAACAUUAAAUGGAAAUCUAAAUAUUUUCACAAAAAUUUUAAUUGUAUUUUUAAAGCUCUUGGUUUCCACUUUUUUUUUUUUUUAAUCAAGAACUGAGGUCUUUUAUUAAAAAUACUUAGAAAAACUAACUUCUUUUUUUUUUUCCAAAAUGUCCCAUAACCACUUGUAUUUAAUGAGGUUUAAUAGAUGGAUUAUAAAAGGUAUGAAACAAGCAAAAAAUUAUCACAACUGAGCUUGACAGAUAAACUGUGGAGGUCAGCGUACAUGAAAGUCAGGACGAACGCGAGUUGUUUAAACUAUGCUUUUAAGAUGUUUCUGCUAAGAUAUUUAACAGAGGGGCAAGUGAAGGACAAGGGGAAGGCUUCUCCUUAAGUGAGAUUUUACACAUCUUGCAUAGAACUGAGAAGGAAAUUAAAGGAAAAUGGCAGAAGGUGGGAAGAAGUCUUGUCUCAAGCAAUACUCAUCUCUGUACACUCUUGGCCCCCUCAAGACACCAGUGCCCUUCUAUGAUUCAAGAAUCAUCUAUCCCACGUGUUCUAACAUUUCAUUAGAUCAUGUCAAGUGAGCUUAAUCCAGGCAAUAGCAAACUUUUGUGUUCUGCAGUUGUGUGUUUGGUAGUCAGGAAUAUGGCUUUCCGUGAGAAAUUCCAAGAACUUCAGUGCUCAGUUUUUCCAAACCCACUGGAAAUCUCUUAUCUAAAUAUUGUGUAUGUUUAGGCACCAUAACAGAAAUACUCUGGGGCUGGGUAAAGAAAACAGUAGUUAAGCCUGGGUCUCUUUCUCCUCCUUUAUAACAGCAGCAAACAGACUACAUGCAUGCCUUCAUUUAAACGUGAUUCAGCACAGCGAAGCGCUGAAGUUUCAUUCAAUGGUAAUGCCCUUGCCUAGUAAUCCAGAAGAAUAAAGAAUAAACCAUAGAAAAUGAAGAAUAAGGU
rnacentral:lncRNA from 1 species